rnacentral:rRNA from 1 species
AGCAGCCGCGGUAAUUCCAGCUCCAAUAGCGUAUAUUAAAGUUGUUGCAGUUAAAAAGCUCGUAGUUGAAUUUCGGGAUUGGCGCACCGGUCGUGCCUCACGGGGUAUGAACUGGUGCAGUCAAUUUCUCACCUUCUGGAGAACCGCGAUGUCCUUAAUUGGAUGCCGCGGGGAACCAGGACCUUUACUUUGAAAAAUUAGAGUGUUUAAAGCAGGCAUUUUUGCUUGAAUACAUUAGCAUGGAAUAAUAAAAUAGGACGGCAUGGUUCUAUUUUGUUGGUUUCUAGGACCACCGUAAUGAUUAAUAGGGAUAGUUGGGGGCAUUAGUAUUCAAUUGUCAGAGGUGAAAUUCUUGGAUUUAUUGAAGACUAACUACUGCGAAAGCAUUUGCCAAGGAUGUUUUCAUUAAUCAAGAACGAAAGUUAGGGGAUCGAAGACGAUCAGAUACCGUCGUAGUCUUAACCAUAAACUAUGCCGACUAGGAAUCAGACGAUGUUAAUUUUUAAUGACUCGUUUGGCA